ensembl:snRNA LOC120103300 U2 spliceosomal RNA
AUCGCUUCUCGGCCUUUUGGCUAAGAUCAAGUGUAGUAUCUGUUCUUAUCAGUUUAAAAAAGAAAAACCAAAAACAAAUGUAAGUUAAAUCCCCAUUGUCCCACUACAAUACAGAGCCACAUUUUCAAGAAAACUAGGAGCUGCACUCAUCUUCUACCUCUUGGACUUCUG